AUAUAUAAGCUUAGUUUUUAAUAGUUACAGUUUUGAAACAGGAAUACAAAACAAAUCACAACAAACCCGGCUGAUGUUAAAGUUGGAUUAUGUAGUACAAAAAUAUGAUAUCCAGCUUAAUUAUACUGAAUCAACUCAUAACGCUGGGGGCAACAGCUCGUCUAGUGCACCUUUUACAUUUUUAACCCCACCCAGACUUUUUUUUUAAAAUCUCCAAAUACACAGAGGCACUUGCAUUACAGCUGGUUUGAAAAUGUCCAAAAUAUACUUGAUAACUGAAAAAUGGAAACAUUGUUGGACCCGUAAACUACAAAUAUUUAAAAAUACACAAUGAAUCCGAAACACCUGCAUUACUAGAAGUAUGAUGAGGGAAAAAAGGGUACAUAUUGAAUAACUAAGUGGAUAUGCAGGUUGGCUUGACGCAGUGCCACGAGUUUUUGUUUUGAGGGAAAUAGCCUGUCAAAAAUGCAUCUAACAUUUGGAAAAUAUUGAGAAAUGUAUGCAUGUUGUACAAGUUUGAUGUUUAUUUAAGAAAAAAAAAAACCCUGCCACCCAAAUUUUGGUCAUGCAGACAGAUUCACUGUGAACUGCAGAGGCUAAAAGGAGACAAUCAGCUGAAGCUUUAAAAUAUGAGCUUCAAAAUCUUGCGUGAUAAUCUUUGGAUGUUUUAUGGUCAACUGCGGCCAUAUUUGGACUAAGCUGUGGACGAUCAUCUCUUAAAACCACGACAGAUCACUUGAAACUGUGCCGAUGGAGGGACAGCUUGUGUCCAGAUAAAAAAAGGAAGAUUUUAGUGUGUUUUAAAGUGGCAGGCUGGUUGAUUCGAGUAGUGGUAAUGUACUGAAGCUCAAUGACAAAUAAACAUUUUGCCUAAAAGCAUAAGCAGAGAAUGUACUGCUGUUAAAAACACAAUCUUGCAUAAAAUGUCUAAAAUGCAUGCAUUUAAUCAUGUGCAUUCCUUUAAAUUCAAUAUAAGGAAAUAAUGGUUUAAAAAAAAAUCAUUUUAUCCCUUUAAGGGGUUCAUUUAUCUCCAUAGUGGAAAAAACUAAGUAGAGGAAGACUGCCACAGCCAGGAAGAACACAAACUGAACCCACAGUGGGAUCAGACGUGAUGACUUUGGUGCAUCUGGAACAUCUUGACCUGAUUUCAUGGGUGGCGAUUUAGCGUAGGUGCUUCUGUAAGUGGACGGAGUGUCAUACAUGUCGGGUCUGGAAAGGAAAUCGAGGGAAAUCAUGCAUCAGCA
ensembl:lncRNA